rnacentral:rRNA from 1 species
UGGGGAAUAUUGCACAAUGGGCGCAAGCCUGAUGCAGCCAUGCCGCGUGUGUGAAGAAGGCCUUCGGGUUGUAAAGCACUUUCAGCGGGGAGGAAGGCGAUAAGGUUAAUAACCUUGUCGAUUGACGUUACCCGCAGAAGAAGCACCGGCUAACUCCGUGCCAGCAGCCGCGGUAAUACGGAGGGUGCAAGCGUUAAUCGGAAUUACUGGGCGUAAAGCGCACGCAGGCGGUUGAUUGAGUCAGAUGUGAAAUCCCCGGGCUUAACCCGGGAAUUGCAUCUGAUACUGGUCAGCUAGGGUCUUGUAGAGGGGGGUAGAAUUCCAUGUGUAGCGAUGAAAUGCGUAGAGAUGUGGAGGAAUACCGGUGGCGAAGGCGGCCCCCUGGACAAAGACUGACGCUCAGGUGCGAAAGCGUGGGGAGCAAACAGG